GGUUCCUUCUACACAGUGAGCGGGAGGGUCAAAUUAAAAGAUUUGUUACAGUUUGUUACAGUUCCCUUCUGGAAGCAAUUCAGUUUCAAGCAUGUUUUCCUCUCCGCAGAGGCAGCCAUGACUGGCCACUUCAUGUGCUCCUGGAGAAGGGCUUGCACCAGCCGUUUUCAGGAAAGUCAAGCAGCUGUUGACUCCUGAGUCUGGGUGAAUUUGUGUGAAGAGCAUAAGGCGCUGUUUCUUAACCAAAACGCUUCCUCUUGCAGUGCAGAUGGGAUGUGCUUCUCCACAGGAGGCCCCACGGCUUCCCCACCCCUCAGAGGAGCGCCGUGCGUGCGUCUGUGUGGAGGAUUGGCAGCUCCUGCAGUCGGCCCUUGGUCCUAUUUGGCGACGCCUCUGCCUUCCCCUUAAUUAUACAGUCAUGAGCCGCCCUGGAAUCACGGCAGCUCCGGAUGGAUCCUGGAUGCCAGAAUGCAGCCUCAGCACGGGGCUGCAGGACAGGAGUGAGCGAGGGGCUGCAGAGCCGGCGGCCGCGGUGGGCACCAUGGAGGGGGCUGCCCUGGGCAGCACGGGCAUGAGUCUCAAGGCCCAGGUUUGAGUAACAGGUGUUGAGAGCUUACUUACUUUUCCUGAGACACAGUUUCCUCAUCUCGAGAGCACGGAAAAUCAUUCUAACUUCAGAGGAUUGUUGUGAAAGUUAAAUGAGAUUAAAGAGGUAAAGCCCAUGACGUGCUUAGCUCGUGCUUGGCUCUUGGUCAAUGCCAGUUAGCGCUGCAUUUUCUCCCCUCUCCCUCCCUCCUUCUCUCUUUCUUUUCUUCUAUUCUCCAUUCCUGUUUUCUCCCCCACCCCACUCCCCAAAGCUCUGCGUUGAGAACCAGAUGCUGUCUGGUGGGUUAGGGCCAGAGGAGGAAAAGCUGCCCGCCGUGGGCUGCACCCAUACCCUCUUCAUUCCAAUGACAUGAGGGGAGGGGAAAGGACAGAGGUAGACUGUCCUCCCCUACCUCCUCCUAAUACAAAUGGAAUUCCUGGAACUGGAAAACAAAGAAUACCCCCAUAAAAAUAAGACAGUACUUCUGGUGCGGUGUAAUAAAGGGGAAAGUAACCCUCAAUGUCAGGAAACUCCGCACCUCCCAGCUCAUAUUUGUGUGGAGGAAAAGUUAAAUAUUAAUUUGGACUCAACUGAAUGUGGACACAAACAAUGGUCACCAAGUCCCGGAACAGGUUGUGUGAGCCUCUUCAGGGGUUCAUCCAGCGCUGUUUUGGAGAAAUCUCUAUUUCAAUUUAUUCCUAUACGUUAGUUACUGAAAAACAACAGACAAUCGCAAAAGCAAGUUGCCCGUUUUGUGUUCCUUGAGCCCAAUCAUGAAGUGCCGUCGUGACUGGGCCUCAUGACAAACAACUUGUAACAAGUAACAACAGAGCUCAGGUCCCAGACCGCACUGAAGCUCUGUGAGACCUCUCCUCAUCUGUGCAUGAACGAGUGUCUGACUCUGGAGCCCAGCCUGCUGCUUCCCAGUCUGGUGGUGAAUCCUCCGUAGUCUGAUGCUAAAAUUGACACCAAAAGCGUAGGUGAUGAGCUUGAAUCAGGUAAGAAUUAUAUUCUACUUCCAGCUAAAGAAGAGGAUAUAGAAGAUCAAUAGCUUAAACAAAACAGAAGGUUUGUUUCUCACCCUUCCUGUAAUAGAAAUCUGGCAAUGAGCAAACAUGGUAGUAUUUAUAUUCUGAGUUCUUGUCACAUUAUUUUCAUUUUCAGGUCUUCUCAUGGACUAAAACAGUGACAGUGAGUGCAACUCUACCUAUCAUGUUCAUAUUCUAGGUAGAAACUGGGGAAAAGAGAAAAGGCGGGAAAAAGGCGUUUCUCUACAAAGAUCACACAUAAUCUUCUGUCUGCAUCUCAUUGGUCGGCAUUUAGUCACAUGGCCAUAACUACCAGCAAGGGAAGCUGGGAAAUGUAGUUUUUCAAUGGCACAUUGCUACCCUUAAUAAAAUAAGGAUAUGCUACCAACAAAGAAUGAAUAUGGGAAAGGCCCCUAGCAAUGUCUGCUGCAUCUGCCACUGUGGUUUUCUCUGAUUUCCACAGACAUUGCUCUUCCACAUAGAGCGCAUUCUGAUUCCCAAGCCACCACUCCCAAAUCACACCCAGUUUCUGCAUCUAGCUUGUGUGUGGGCAGUCUGCUCCAUCAGUCCCAGAUGUGGCUUCUCAUGGCUGGUGACCUAUGAACUAAAAGACAGGCCAUUUUUUUCCCAACCUACCCUACCUUUUCUCCUUGAGAGGAAAGAUAAAAUAACCACAAUUUAAAAAUGUCAAUCUUCCAUUCAGAAAAGGGAGGAAAGAGAAACACAGAGAUCACUGGUUUACAGUGAUGGACCCACCCUGCUAGGCAGGAGUGAAAAGGCCUCUCCGUCCGGCAGUGGACUGGGUUCCUUGGCUGGCCCAUGUGGUCCCCACCCACUGUCUCCAGGAGCAUCGCCUUGAACUGUGUCUUCAUGGCUUUUGGCUCCGCCUUCAGAAGGGUCCUCCCUGUCAAUCAUCCUCCAUUGCCACCUCUGAUGUGGGCACUAGGGAGCUGGUCCUUCCCAGAGGAUGCAUGAUUUUGACACCGUGCAGUGUGGGAUGUUGGACCAGGGAAUCCAGCAUAUUUUCGGGCUUUUGUAGUCUCAGACUGGGCCUGAGAUUUCUUUAGAAAUAUAUUAACGGUUCCUUCAACACUCCAAUGGGCAUAUAGCCUAUUUACUUCUGAUCAUUGUAAUGUGCAAAUAACCACAGCCCCAUUUCUUUGUGUCCAGAUGCAGUUUUUAGGCUUGAAUAUUCAUCUGUUUUACUCACUGGCCUCUGUCACUGAGUCUGUCCCCUUAGCUAUUAAAUUAAUGGUGACUAUGAUAACACUUUUCACCCGAUCCUUGCUAGUGCAUUGACUUGCGUUGUCUGCAUCGAGUUCUUAAAAGAUGCUUGGUAAAGUCUUGGGUCACAGUUUUAACUUCUGCUGGGGUUCCUGCUCCACAGCCCUCAUUUAGAACUGUUUCACUUUGGCUAUUGUUUAGCUUUGGGCCAUAUUUGGCUGUUUUUUAGCUUUGUAAAAAUGCUCAUUUAACGGACACAAGGCCUGGGUUAGAAAAUGUAGUAUUUCCUUCCCCCUCUGUUUGCGUAGGAGCUAGCGCUAGUGGAAGCCCAUCUCUCCCUUGCAGGAUUUUGUGGAAAGUGACGAAAAUAACUCAAACCACAUCAGUGUUCUGCUUGAUUUCCACCAUUCUUGGAUGCUAUAACUUCAGAAAGCACAUGAUCUAACUUCCCAAGGGACAGCAGGGCCUCGACCAAAUGCCGUUGUGCUGAGGGCUGCCGGCCGCCCCGCUAGGCUGCUGCACCCUCCCCGCGCUGCCCCACACCUUGCACAGAGCUCAGGCAGCAUUCUAGCACCAUCAGACAAAUUCUUCAUGAGUCAGAAAUCGCACCUGUCUCUUAAUAGCGAUCUGGCCUCAGGUGGCUGAAACACACAGGGUUGAAAUGCUGCGGUGCCUGCGCUCAUUGUGCGGUGAAGCCAUAGAGUCCGCGCUGAAACCCGGGGCGCCCGCCUCCUGUCCGCGCAGGCGCUGCACGCUGUCGCCGGGGCAGCUUCACUCAGCUUCAGCCUCUCCAUCUGCAGAGGAGGAGUAAUCCCGUGCUGCCUCAUGGGGCCGUUUCAAGAAGGAAAUGAGAUGUGGUAUAAAGUGUUAGAGGAGUAUUUAGUGUUAUUAUUAAUGUGUUUUCUCAUCUGGGAACAUGAUUUGCAUUUUAAGCAGAACUUCAACAUUUGGACUCAAAGGAGUGAUGUGGAUGGGGAGAAUUUCAGGCAUCGUGCAGGCUGGCAUUAGAAAUGCUCACCGGAAAUGGAGCACAGGCAGCAACUUCAGCCCCUAGAAUUCUUCCUCCUAUGUCACUUCCGUCCCUCAAACCCUUUCUGCAGCCCCUGUCCUCUCUCCUGCAAUGGCAGUGAGCAGGUGGUCUCCUGGUGUCUCUGGAAAAUUCCCAUAUGGAGUCCUGGUUGAGAUGAGCCAGAAGGCUAGGAAGGAGCCUACAGUCCCGGUCUCAGCGCCCAGGAGGUUUUUCUAAUGGAGUUGGCAUGCAGAAGCUGGGGCAUACCCUGGGAGCAGCCCUGUGGCUGGAUGAGGGAUGGACAGCAGCACUGGGCGGGUGGAGCCGGGUGCGAGGUCCCCACAGCCUGCCUCCCAGUCCCACUGGCCAGCCCGGGGAGGGUGCUGAAGACAGGCUUCCUCUCUGGUCAAGCUCUGGCUAGCUUGGCAAGUGCAGGCAGGACCCUGGACCUGCCAUAUGGUGCACAUUUUGAGGACAUCAUUAGCAGGUUUGGAAGGUUGUGAUUCUGGUUGUGGGAGAGAAGGAACCUGGGAGUUGAGCAGGUGGUGGGUGGAGCUAUGCAUGCAACUGAGUGUGAGGAGUGCUUUGGCCAUGCUAGGGUCUCCUCUGGGCUGGAAGCCUUGUCUUCAAGAGGGUUGGGGUAGGAGGCUUUUUAUUAUAGUGGGAAGCCUCAAGCCUGGACCUGGGAAAACACUUUCUGGGUAUGAGGAAUUAAAAUAAACCUUGAAGCACUAUUUAGGAAGAACAUAGUAUCACUUCAUAGAUAUUUUCCCCCCUAAAUGGUUACAAAGUAAAAUGGCAGAGGUACAAAGAGGAAAAUGAAAACCACCCAAUCCCUUCCCUGAGCGAUGGCCCUGUUAUCCUUGGGCUCUGUGGCCAUCUGACCUCUCUCUGGGGACAGAAGUACAUGAGGAGAGGGGCCACUUCAUAAGACGGAGAUGCUCUCUUCCUGUUCCCUGCCUCUGCAUCGUGCUGGGGAUGUCUGUCCUCAUCAACUAAGAGACCCAUGUAGACCGCAGCUCUGAGAUCUUCUAUUUUUGUAAACAGAACAGUUUGUAGGGAGAUGUGAGAUGUUAGGUGGUGCUGGAGAGCCUGGGCUUUGUCUGUUUGGACAAGGCUCCAUCAAGGCAUCCUUUGUCCGACGGUGAGGCAUCUUGAGGGCUCUGGACCCAGAGCUGGUCCUGCAAGAGUCCUGUCUGAGAGCCCAGGCCCCACUCCACUAGGAGGGACAGGAGGGAACAGAGCAGAGCUGAGUCCCUUCACCUACCCAAACCCAUACAUGUUUCUAGAGCAGAGUAACUGCUUGUGAAACAGACCAUCAGAGCACAGGGCAGCACCGAGCUGCGUUCUGCAGGGCUCGGUCUAGGUGAUCUGGAGGGCUUGGGGAGCUGGCUUCUCCCCUCAUCCAGCAUGUAGCUACCCACAGCCACCUGCAUUUCACAGGGCCAGUGCCUAGGGACAUUGGGCCAGAAGCCAGAAUUUCUUUUUUCUUUUUUUUUUUCCCCUCUAGCAUUCACUACUAGCGCAAGCUAGUGCAUCCCAAAGUUUUGGCCCUGCGUGGAUAAUCAAUCCACAAUUUAUCUUCCGUCUGUUGCCAAAGUAAUUUAGCUAAAAUGCAGAUCUCAACUGGUCACUUCCCUGCGUAAAAGCUUCAAUAGCUUUCUAUCGCCUACAGGCAAAAGUCCCUCUUCUGAAAAGCGGCUUGCAAAGCCCUAGUAGCUGGCUCCAUGCCCCCCAGCAAUACGUGGCCUCCUCAGACGCAUCUUCUAGCAAAGGAGAGCUGCUCAGUGACAUCCACAAACCGAGCUGCUUCUCACCUACCUGUUUUCCUUCUCUUUGGGAUGCCCCCCGCCCUCACCUUCUGCUUCUGGCUAACUCCUAGGCAUCCUUGAAGGCUUGGCUCAGUAUCCUCUCCUCCAGGAAGCUGUCCCUCACCUUCUCUCCUUUCCCUCCAUCCCAGUCACCAUGCACCACACCCAUAUCCCCAUUGCAUCCUGCAGCUACCUUGUGCCUGCACACGUUGGGCUGGGCAUGCAUCUCCUUCUCUCUCAAGACCUGGAUCCCUUCACUUUGUGUCUCUGGACCCCCCAGUGUGCUGAUAAUGGGGUUGGAACCCAUCAUAUUUCUCUUGAACGAGUUAAUGAUGGGACUGCUAUUUCUCUAACUGUUGCCUUGGAGGCCCUGUCACGUGCUCAUGGAAGAGAGCCAGGGGGGUGGAGGUGAUUCUUGUUACCCAGAGGACGUGGGGUCUGGAUACACGUUUCUGCCAUCUGCCAUCUGCCAGCUUCUUUCUGGUUGGUAGCUUUGGAGCCUGGUGCAGCUGGGGCCAGUCCCGAGCCUGGACUCUGCUGGGCAGUGGCAAGAGCACUGUCUGGAGCUCUCCUGAGGAGCCCACAGAUCCAACUCCCUAGGCCAAGGCUGCAGCCUGGGGCAGAGAUGCAGAGGCCUGGAGGAGCCUAGGGCACGCGGCCUGCGGGCUGGCUGGGGUUCAGAGUUCGUAUGUGUGUGGAGUGACUGGGCAGGUGUUCAGAAAUGAAGGCUGGCACUGCCAGGUAAGGCCCUUCCCUCCCUGAUGUGAGAGCCCUGGAGCCACCGCAGAGGCCCAGUCAGAUCUCUGUUCUAAUUCUGGCCUGGUGUGGAGGAUGAGGAGAGACGGCCCAGAAAGGAAGGCAGACUGUGCAGACCCCAUGUCUUCUGGCCCGCGAGGCCCUCCUCCUGUGCCUGCUUAUCUUAAAGAAUCCGGGAUAAGAGGUGACUUGGGCCUUGGCCGGGAGGCCCCUCCUCAGCUUCAGACAAGGAGGGAGCUCUGGGCAUGAGGACAUUGAGCAAGAGGCGAUGGCAGUGCCCACAACUUACCCUCAGCUCGGCUCUGUUGGGUCCGAGAAGUUGCAUGGAAAGGGCUCCUUGGGGGCCAGUUGUCAGUAAGCUGCAGAAGCCUGGAGCCGGCCAGGAAAUAACCACGUGUAGGAGCCUUCUCAGCUGAGAGGAAGGAGGACUCACGCGCGGCGAGCACAUGCUUGGAGCCAGGCACAGGUUUGAACUAAGCUAUUUCAUCUCGAUUCUUAUGACAAGCUCCACGUAGUUUGCUCCUAUUUUACAGAUGUGGAAGCUGAGGCUCAGAGAGGUUAAGCGACUUGUCCCAAAUCGCAUUGUCAAUCAGUGAAGGGGCUGGGAUUUGAGCUAGUCACCUGCCUCUAGGUUCAGUGUGCUUUCUACUCUGCUCCCCUCCAUGCCUGCCCGACCCUUUGCUGAUGACACAUUCCUGAGACCUCAAAGGAGUCCUACUUUGAAUCAUGAAUGGCCUCGCGUUUCCCCAGAGGGCAUGACGCAAGCUUCGCCACCUCACUCCCACCCUCACCACUGGCUGGUUGCUCUUAGGAAGAUGCUGUUUACAGGAUCACGCAGUGGUUCAGGCCACCACGAUGCCACUUCCCCUGCUCUUAACCCCCCACCAAACUGCAGGUGGCUUCCCUGGGAGACUCGGGGCAACACCCUCUCGUCCUGUAUGAAGCUUGUACCUUUCUCCACCCAAGUGAGUGACAGCUGGCGGGAGUUUUGCACUGUGGAACAGGGUACACAAAGACACUGGAGUGAGAAGGCAGGGGCAUGGCCAGUCUAUGUCUAGGAGGUGGUGGCUCCACCUUCCUUGUGGACUCAGCUUUGGAGUCAUGCAGGCUGCUCUCUGGGCACUCCUGUGAGCCAUUUCUUCUGCUGAUAGGGAGGAACGUCCCACUGCCCCAAGAUGGGUUCUGUGCAGAGUCUCCCCAGGGUCAAGACAGGAGCUAGAAUGUAUGUCAUAGAAGGAUGAUCUAAAUGGUGACUUCUGGCUGGUGAGGAGAGGCUAUGGCACCUCCACGGCUGGUGGCCUCUUGCUGAAGUAAGCAUGGUCAGCAUCCCCCCUGCACCCUGUGGAGGUGGCUUAAUGCAUUCCCUUGACUGCAAAGGACUCCUUGCCAAAGAGACCUUCUUCCCCAUGAGGCUGAGGCCUCCUAGGACCCUCAGUGCUCAGGAAAUUAUAACCAGCCACCCCCAUCUCCAUUCAUUGGAGAAGGAGUGACGGCCGCCUCAGUGCCAUUAACUCUGUGCUGUGAUUAAAUGGAUCCCAAGGAGACUCCUGCUCAGGGACACCCCCUGUAGGACUGAUGCCAGGGCUAGGCUUGCCGCACAGUGCUCUAUUCCUUUGGUUAUGCACCUUCCUUGGCAGAAUCCACGCUUACCAAGAGGAGUCACUCUGAGCUGCUUGCUGCCAGUCACAUGCUUAGCAGUAGAAGAUAUCUUGUGCUUGUCAGGUGACUGUGAGUGAGAGGGAAGGGGGCCCAGCGUGAAGCCAGGUGGGACGGCUUCUGCGGGGCAAGACACCCCACUGGAGGAGGCAGGGGCGCGCUGUGCAGGCCUCAGCACCAGCUCUGGCUGCUGUGGUGGGAUCUCAGAUCAGUCACUUUGCCUUUUUGGCCUCAGUUUUCUCAUCUGUACAUCAUGGAUUUGGGAUUAAAGGAUUUCUGAAGAUUUUACUCAUUCUGAGAUUAUGGUCCCUGGAAACCUUUAGGGAAAAGGGAGCUUCUUCUCUUCAUUAUUUUAACAUACUUGAUCUUUUAUGUUCUUUGGUAGGGAGAGAUGAUAGGUAGUUAGAGAAGAAGCAGCUCAGUGAAAAAGCUGAAAGCCUUGUGGAAAAAUAAGUUAAAUUGACCCACUGUGACUCCAGGGACCUGGGGAGACUUUGAUGUCCGUGUUUUUGAUUACACAUCUCUUCUCUCAGAGUGAAGAUGCGCAGUUCUAAGGAAUUAUGCCCAAUGGCAGAAUUGGCAAGGGACAGGGAACUGUCCAGCAGAGAAGCUGCUGAAACCCUUCAGGGAACAUUCCAUUCCGCCAGGGCCCGGCUCUCACGCUCUGCUCUGCAGCGCAUCCGGUGCCAAGGAGGGGAGUAGCGAACGUUGACCUUGUCCCUAAGGAGCUUACACGCAGGGAGGUCAGCACAGACACUGGAAUAUCUAGGACUCUGCUAUCGAAAAACACAAUUGCUGGCACAUGGGUUCAGAAGACAGAGAAGGAAAAGAGCUGUAAAGAGUUGGGUGGGCUGAGGUUUGAAAUGGGCUUUAAUUAUGACUGGACACAAUUUGGUGACAAAUGGGUGAAAUUUCAAGCAGAAGAGGUAGCAUGAGCAAAAAGGGGUGUGCAGUCUUUGUGAAGAGAAGGGGGAGGGAGUGGCAAGGGAAUAGGACAGAGAGGAGGAGGAGGGAGAGGAAGCCAGAGAUAAGGAGCCAGGGGGGGAAGAAAAGGGCAGAAACGAAUGUGAAGGAGAUUCUGAAGACAAGCCACUGUGGUGGUCCAGGUGGUUCCAUGGUGCCGCGCCAAGCCAGGGGCUUGGAAUUUAGUCUGGGAGGAUGGUGCUGAGUAUGGAUGAGGAAGGAGAGGAAUGGAGAGGGGAGAAACGGGAAGGUACUUCACACUGAUUAAGCAAGCUCCUCACAGGGCUAUGACUUCUCCCUUCUCAGAAGGAGGUGCCCUGUGGCAUGCCUCUAGGCCCAGAGUUAAAGAGCUGGAGCCAUUAGGAGCAGCAAGGGGCUGCCUCCCCACUUGUCUGGUUACUUCUGGUUACUUCUCCCUCAGGGUAAGUCCUCAUGAGGGAUCAUCUCUGCCCAUGGAGCUGCUUCCGCUGCCCUUAGGCUGGUGUAAGAGGAAGGCUGUGUACCAGAGGUAGAUCUUGCUCCUAGUCCACCAGCAAAACACAUCCAGUUAUUUCUAUGCCUCAGUCUCCCUUCCCCACACUGAUCUCUUUAUUCCCCUACUACCUAGAAAUGGAAGGGAGACAAUGAGGUGGGAAAUAGAGUUUUUCGAAAGGUGUUUUUUGGAUAAGACAAAGGCCUCUCAGAGCAGAGCUGGCCAUUGGAAUGGUUUCCUUUUGUUAUUUAAUACCGGGGCUUUCACACAGGAGUUUAGCCCAGCUUUUAAGUCUUCAGUAUCAAAUAGUAGUUGGUGUCACAUCCCUGCUGAAAUACAGCCAUGAAAAUGUUUCUUAGUGAUAGAUUUAGGUUGUACUCCUUAAGAAAAGCCCAAAUGUCAAGAAUUGCUUCCCACUGGUACACUUUAUUGGGGAGAAGGGCAUCUCAAAUAGAAGGAUGGUUGGUCUGUCUAGAAAUGGUAAGAAUACUACAGGUUAAAGGCAGUGGUGGUCUGGACUAAAUGACCCCUGAAACUCGGAUUUUAUGGUGUUUUCAAUCUCUGGCUGAGUACAGGUUCCUCCCUCUCCCUUUGUGCCUCCUUGGGGACCUGGGCUAUUUUCUCCUCCGUGAAAGAGAAUGGAUACAUCCAUUAUGAAAACCAAUUGAUAUAAUUUGAGCCUGCAUGCAGGUAAAAACUAUAUUAAGAAGGUUUAUAAAAUCUAACCUUCUGGCUUAACAAGCUGAUUCUCAAAGUGGCCUCUCAGACCCUGGCUGAGGGAUGGUGGUCAGGGGUUGCAGAGGGACCCGCACAGCUGCUGAGGAGGCUGUGGGACAGGAGGCGCUAUCACUGUCUACCUCUUCCAUCCAUGCACCUGUGUGCAGGUGUGAGAAGGGCACCGUGCUGCAAAGAAGGGUCCUUUCCACCCUCUGCGGGUUGCUGCCGGCUCCCCGAUGCCUGCCUCUGAGGCCUGAGCCUGGGGCUGGGGAGUGUGCUGGCCUCACCUCUGGAGGAUACUGCCUCAGUGUUACAGCCUGACCCCCCACCUUGUCAUCACUGCCUACUACAGACCAGAGGGGACGGCCACAGAGACUCUGCAACCAUGGGCUCUGCCCUUCUUCCUUCUGCCUGUGUAUCUGUGAAAAACUUUUUUUUUUUUAAAUGGAGAAAGCUACCUUGACUUCUCAGAGAGUUGAAUGGGGUCAGGGGAUAGAAUCUAUAUUUUUUAGUUAUGGGCACUUACCCAUAUUCAAAAAGAUUUGAGGAGGCUGGCAGAAUGGAGCUGGGAGAAGAAAACCCUCCCCUGGGAGGAAGCUGUCCUGUGCAUGUUGGCCAGGCUGCCUCUUUGAUUAGGGACAAUGGAAACCGGCCUGAGGGCACGGGUGAAAGCAGUUGAGUGUAGAGGAGGCUCUGCAGCAGAAGCCAGAGGACACAGGAGCCAGUGAAGACACACAAUAAGUCAGAAAGGAGGGAUCUUUGCAGCCCCAAAAGUAGAAAUUCUUACCAUCUACUGCAAAGAGCAAAAGUUGAAAAUUGGUCUGAUUUCUAUCUAAAUGUGCUUACAUAUUCGUGUUCUGUUAAAUACUUCUGUAACCUGUGUGUCUCACAUAAAUGCAGCUUUCUUUAGUUUUGGAAAUAAAUCACAUGAAUCCUGAAUAGUAGUCUUUAAUAAUUUGCUUAGUUGUAGGGCAGUGUUGUGUUUUCAGAAGGCAAGUGUAUUUGCUAGAAGAGUGAGCUGGGAGGUGUGAACCACAUCGUCACAUCUGCUGUAAGCCUAGCCGUUCAUAAUACGGAGUUACAGUUAGGACACGUCGCCCUGAAGAGCUACCAUCGAAUGUGUGCUCAUCAAAUGCCUGGCAGCGUCCUCGGUGCUUCACCUGCCAUAGCCGACAGUGGCUGACCUCCCAUGCCUGUUGCCUUUUCUUUCUGUUGGAUCAGGGAUACACUGCCAUGUGUGUUAAGAAAAGCUGGCCUUACCUACAGGGCUGGCCAGUCCCGGUCACGUUUCUAGUAAGCCAUUGCCUUACAUAAGGGUAACGGCAUGGGACGCUAUCUUAGCCAAUGUGAUAAAAGUGGACAUGAGGUGAGAGGCUUCAGAGAGAGGUUUUAAAAAAGAGACAAAAGCAGGACGUUGCCUCUCUUCCUCCUCUCCACGUGUCCUACCCGGAUGUGAAGCCAAAACAGAUGCAGGCUUAGUGCAACCAUGGGGAACCCAGCAUAAGCACAGAUUCAACAGCAGAAGAGUGGCAGAGGGAGAAGGUGAAAGGAACCUAGGUUUUCCUGUCCUUGUUGAGUCAUUCAGUUAAAAAUCCCUGGAAUUUUCCUCUCUCCGGCAGUGUGUUUUGUGGGAUAAUGAGUUGCCUUAUUGGGGUUGGCUUGCUAGUCGGGAUGUUUCGCUCCCAUCAACAUCCAUACGCUUGCUCUGUGAACCAAUGACCUGAUGAGGUAGUAUUAGCACCACCAUCAUUAUGCUGAGGAUGAGAUUUAUGGCACAGUGGUUCAGUAGCUUGCCCAAGGCCAUGCGGCUGGUAGGUUCUGGAGGAGGGCUCAGGGCACCCCCUGAGCUACCCCUGCUGGCCAUUGCACCACCCCAUAAAGCUGCUGGCAGUCACUUCUCUGAGGGGUUAGCAUGUAAGAAAUGUCCUCCUGAAUGCUGGCCAGACAAAUGGAAAUCUGCCAGGGUUGGGUACCCCCAUGACAGCAGCCAGCCUGCCCUCUUAGUCCCUGACAGCUGCAGUGACAGCAUCUGUGAUUGCAAAGCGUGACAAUUUAUAUCUCUCAUUUCAUCACACCAUCUAUCAGCAGACAGUCAGGCUUUAAAAAUCAAUCCCACACUGACUCAGUCCCCAGCAGAGAUGGCCUCUGACAACAGUAUCCACACUGCAGGCUGGACAAGGGCCCUAUUAAUUUUGAGACUCAGCCAAAUUUCCUUCUGACCCUAAGCUGGUGAAUCCCUGCUCCUUUGCUUUGGUUGGGGUUGGUGUGAGCUAAGGCUGUGAUCCCAUUUGCUCCUAUGGCCUCCAGGUGGCCUGGGCCUCCAUGAAUGGGCCACAUGGUCAUACUGAAUGCUUGAUUACACUCAGACCUAGCAGUCGUCUGGGCGCAGCUGGUUUAUGGAUCACUUUGUCACAAUGUUCCAUCCUUCCAGGUCCCCAUCCCCGCGGUGGGAAAACAUUGCUUUAGGCAGUGCUAGAGGACUUCAGCAGGCAUUGGCAGCUUCUGGAUUCAGGAUUAGAACAAAGAAGGAGGAGUCACAGCAAAGAUAGGAACAGAAGGCAGAGAGAACAGACAGAUGGGGGUGUUUGAGAAGGAGGGCCUUUGAGACCUCAGGGAGUGGGAGACACUGGCUCGAGAAUAAUAAUAAUGGCAAUUUCUCUCAUCUGUGUUUUCAGGGCAUGGACUGGAACUCCCAAUACCCCUGACAUGGGCUGAGUCAACGUGGUCAUGAACAUGUGACAGGAGGCAGCAGAAGUUGCAGAGAAGAGUGAGGCACGUUUGAAAAAGGCUGAAAAAUGUUUCUGUCCAGGCAAGGGUGUGUGCUGAAUGACUCAAGGAUUUUUUGGGCAACACAAACCAACACGAGCCGUGUGAGGAUCAGGUGACAGCUGCCCAAAAGCUGACACAAGGAACAAGCCUGGAGGAGUGAGGAUGGGUGCUGUGAAGGAGGUUGUGCAGCUGGGCCCGCAGUCGGACCUGGUGAGAUCAGAGGAGGGGGUGCCACCAGUCUGUGGACGAAGAUGAGAAGCUGGAAUAGAGCAGAAAACAGGAGGCUGCCACUCUCCAUCUUUCCCAAAGUCACUCCAGGAGCAAGGGUGUCAUUUACUGAAAUGACAGACUCUCCAUUUCACAUUUUUCCCCCAAGUGCAGAGUGCAGGGAAGCAGAUGGGCUAAAUUUUUAGAGUCAGGGUUAUUAAUGUAUACUUUACAUAGUAAACUUUCCCCUUUUAAGUGUGCAGGCCUGAGGUUUGCCAAAUAUGUGUAGGCAUUUAAUCACCACCACGAUCAAGAUGUAGAAUAUUCCCACUAUCAAAAAGUUUGCUGUGUCCCUUGAUGGUCAUGCCCCAUUCCACAGCCCCAGCCCCAGCCCCUGGAGAUUGCUGUCUGCUUUAUGUUCCAGUGGUUUUAUCUUUUCCAGACUGUAUGGAUGUGAAUGGAAUCAGAUGUGAUUCCAAGGUGUUUUAUCUUUUCCAGAUGUGAAUGGAAUCAGAUGUACGAAAUCCUAUGGUAGGGGGUCUUCUGAGUCUAGCUCCUUUUGUUUAGCGUGAUGCAUUUGAAAUUAAUCCAUGUCUCAGGCAUCAGGAGUUCAUUUCUUUUUCUGCUGAGUAGUAUUUCAUUGUAUGGAUGUACUGCAAUUUGCCUAUCCAUUCACCUGUUGAUGUACAUUUGAGAUUUUUGGCAAUUAUGAAUAAAGCUGCUAUAAACAGACA
rnacentral:lncRNA from 1 species